CCAAGUUUGCUCUUUAGUCUAACAUACAGGGACCAAUUUGCCCAUUUUUUGAGUGAAUGGAGUAAAAUGCAAUCUAACUCUCAGUACAGUGGUCUUAAUGGUACUUUUACCAAAAAAAUUCAUAUUUCUGGUCUGAUAUAAUGGACUCACAUAUAAAAUGGCAGAUAUUUGUGAUGUGGUUGGAUUUGGUGACAUACCUACAUCACCAUGGUCAUGACGAGAAGCUUCCAUGGUAUCGAGGAAAGGUUCGGGAUAAUGUUUAUUCUUCUUCACCAAGAAACCAUCCAUGUUAUGUAUGGUAUAACAAUUGAAACUUCUCUGUGUUUUACUAACCAGGAGUGGAGUUACCUGAGAGGAGGGCUUACGACGCUUGAUCGGGAUUAUGGAUGGAUUAACAACAUCCACCACGAUAUUGGAACUCAUGUUAUACAUCAUCUCUUCCCUCAAAUCCCACAUUAUCACUUGAUUGAAGCUGUGAGUAUCAUCAUCAUCAUCAUCAUCUUAUUUUC
rnacentral:lncRNA from 1 species